UUCUUCUGAUUUUCAAAUACAUUUCCUGAAUCACUGUGGUGUUUGUUCCUGGAGGUCGUCUGCUUUCCCCUUGACACUUUUCACAGGAACGUCUUGUCCUUUCAUGAUGGCCCUGCUCAGCAGACCAACAUGCCAUCAAGUGUCUGAAACACAAGAUCCCCGUGGAAGGACAAGAGCAAUAUCUCUGGGUAUGAACAGCAAUGAAAUAUGUGAGUGAAUCUCUGUCUUUCCAUUCCUCAAAAGCAAGAUUUGGGAGCUGAGCAGGUUCCUGUGUAUGUUGAGAUGAAGUUAAUAUAGAAAGGAAAGACUCUGAAGAAAAGUGAGAUUAUAGUGUUCUUCCUAAGGAAAUGAGCAGCCCACAAAGCAUAAGGUAGGUGGACUGGAAGAUUGAUUUUUCUGUAGAUUUGAGUAACAGUUACCACCACAAAGUCCAUAUGUUAAAUUGAACUUUAUGGCUCCAGUCAUGUUUUGUUUAAUAUUGCAUCUUAAACAUUAGGAAAUAAUGUCUGUUCUCCUUACUUCCAUAUCAUUUUUUCUUGAUAUAUACCGAUUCACAUAUAUUUAAUUCCCCCCCCCAAUUUUUAAUAUCACUUUCUUCUUAACUCUAAGAAAAACAAGUCUAUUUGUACAUAGAUAAAUUGUUGAGGUAACAUUUUCACAGGCUCACAUAAGAGCAAACAUGAGAGCACAUGCAUGCACAUUGUAUGAAGGUAUGUCUCUGUAUUUUCUUUUUUUUUUUUCUUAAAGAUUUAUUUAUGUAUAUGAGUAUGCUAUACCUGUCUUCAGACACACCAGAAGAGGGCAUUGGAUCCCCAUAACAUGUGGUUGCUGGGAAUUGAAUUCAGGACCUCUACAAAAGCAGUCAGUGCUCUUAACUGCUGAGCCAUCUCUCCAGCCCAUGUCUCUG